GAUGAAGAACGUAGUGAAAUGCGAUACGUAAUGUGAAUUGCAGAAUUCAGUGAAUCAUCGAGUCUUUGAACGCACAUUGCGCCCCCUGGUAUUCCGGGGGGCAUGCCUGUCCGAGCGUCAUUGCUGCCCUCAAGCACGGCUUGUGUGUUGGGCCUCCGCCCCCCGGCUCCCGGGGGGCGGGCCCGAAAGGCAGCGGCGGCACCGCGUCCGGUCCUCGAGCGUAUGGGGCUUCGUCACCCGCUCUUGUAGGCCCGGCCGGCGCUUGCCGACACAUCAAUCUUUUUUCCAGGUUGACCUCGGAUCAGGUAGGGAUACCCGCUGAACUUAAGCAUAUCAAUAAGCGAGGA
rnacentral:misc_RNA from 1 species